AGAAGGGCUGUGGCUACUGCAGCGACUAUUGCAUUCAGAAGCAGCAGGAGAAAACAGCAACGGGUGAAGUUACCAGCACCUAAAACAGCAGGAUGAUUACUGUUCUCUCAUGCUGAUGUUGUAUUUGAGCUGGAGCAGGAUACUGACUCCUGUUUUGCUAUUGUAGAGGAGAAAUAAAGCAGAGCUGCAGAAUGAAUUAGUAGCUAACACCAUGAUUACUCUUAGCUGUUAGCACAAGUUGUAGGAGGGGCAAGAAAAAACAGAAGAGGGAAGAAAAAAAGAAAAAAACCUUUAAUGCUGCCUAGGGAAUACAGUGGAAUUUAGAACAGAUACCGUUGCGGACUGACAGCAUGCCUGAUUGCACUUGAGUUGAAUCACUGAGAAGCAGCCUCAUGUUUGUAUUGUACCAUUUUAAAGCUGAAGGAAGAACAGCAGAAUAGUAAUGGAGUUGUGUACAGUAUUUCUGCAUAAAUGGAAAAUACUAUAAAGAUGGUGGUAUGUAAUUUGUACUUUAUUUUUAAGAAGGAUUUAAUCCAGGUACGUGUCCUCUUUAUAUUUUUGUCUCUUGUCUAUAUAUAUUUUUAUGUUUCCUUUGUUUCCUUUCCUUAUUUUAAUUCUGGAUGUACCUCUCAUGGUAAUAGCUAAUGCAAUGCAUUGAUUUGUGACUGAUUUGAUUUCUAAUGCUAUAAUGUUGACGAAACUGUCUGGGCUUGUAGACUUAAGAAUCAACACUUCAUUAAAAAGUGGGGGGGUUAUUUUGUAAUGUUCGUAAGUUCACAAUGUAAGUUGAGUAAGACAGUAUAGUAUUUGAUUUCACAAUGAGUUGGAACAUUUUAAUUGGUAUAAACAGAUAAACAAUUUACAUAGAUUAAUAGAUGGUGAAAAUAUAGUAUGUUUUGUUUAUAUCUGCCAGUACUUUUUCCUAGUCCAUGAUAGGAUUAGUAAUAAAUUGAGCUUUACAGAUGCUUAUGUAUUUCUAGGUCUUGAUUAAUCUUCAAGAUGAACACCCUGCAGAUUUCUUUUGAGGAGGCAGCUUGCUUAGAAUACAUGCUUGAUUCUGUUCCCCAGC
rnacentral:lncRNA from 1 species